rnacentral:rRNA from 1 species
UACAGAGGUCUCAAGCGUUGUUCGGAUUCAUUGGGCGUAAAGGGUGUGUAGGUGGCGCGCUAAGUCGGGUGUGAAAUUUCGGAGCUUAACUCCGACACUGCAUUCGAUACUGGCGUGCUUGAGGACUGGAGAGGAGACUGGAAUUCAUGGUGUAGCAGUGAAAUGCGUAGAGAUCAUGAGGAAGACCAGUGGCGAAGGCGGGUCUCUGGACAGUUCCUGACACUGAGACACGAAGGCCAGGGGAGCAAACGGG